UUAUACUUUGAUUGAUAAAGAGGUUGAGAAUAACGGGUUUAGUGAAUUUGGUGAUUGGUCUAAUAUUUCGCUGGGAAUAGACCAGGAUAGUAGCUUGUGUUCAGUUAUAGGUCGUGCCGGGACUAUGGAAAUGAUGUAUUUGGGUAAUUGUAGCAAUGGGAAUUGCGAUUUCUUUGGUGGUAAUUUGUCAAAUUUUAGGCCGGCCUCGAUGUGGUUUAAUGAGAUUGAGUGUGGGGGUAAUAGAAGAGGGAGAUUCUUGUUAAGUUUUGGUGAUAGCGUGCACACCCGACCAACUAAUUUGAUAAAUCAAACAUUAGUUGCUGAAGGGAAGUGGAAUGAGAAGACAAAAACAGUUGACAUGGUUGGUUGCCUGAUGUUCAAUGGAAGUGAUGCAGCUGAAAAGGGUUCUGUUGGGGAUUGUGUUGUGAGGCUGAGUUUGAGGUUGCCUAAGCAAUGGACCUUGAAGGAGAGAAGUGUUAUUGUUGGGGAGAUUUGGAAAAGAGAAGACUCAAAUGGGUCAGGUAAUUAUGGUAAAGUAGUCUUACACAGCGUAAGAAAUCUGGUUAACAGAAUUGAUGGACUGACAUAUGAGUAUACUGUGAUUGAUAAUGUGACGAGUUCUUGUGCCAAGGCACUGACUUAUAAAGGGAAGG
rnacentral:misc_RNA from 1 species